rnacentral:rRNA from 1 species
AAAAUAAACGGCUGAACAUGCAAGUCGAGCGGAUGACAGGAGCUUGCUCCUGAAUUCAGCGGCGGACGGGUGAGUAAUGCCUAGGAAUCUGCCUGGUAGUGGGGGACAACGUUUCGAAAGGAACGCUAAUACCGCAUACGUCCUACGGGAGAAAGCAGGGGACCUUCGGGCCUUGCGCUAUCAGAUGAGCCUAGGUCGGAUUAGCUAGUUGGUGAGGUAAUGGCUCACCAAGGCGACGAUCCGUAACUGGUCUGAGAGGAUGAUCAGUCACACUGGAACUGAGACACGGUCCAGACUCCUACGGGAGGCAGCAGUGGGGAAUAUUGGACAAUGGGCGAAAGCCUGAUCCAGCCAUGCCGCGUGUGUGAAGAAGGUCUUCGGAUUGUAAAGCACUUUAAGUUGGGAGGAAGGGCAGUAACUUAAUACGUUGCUGUUUUGACGUUACCGACAGAAUAAGCACCGGCUAACUCUGUGCCAGCAGCCGCGGUAAUACAGAGGGUGCAAGCGUUAAUCGGAAUUACUGGGCGUAAAGCGCGCGUAGGUGGUUUGUUAAGUUGGAUGUGAAAGCCCCGGGCUCAACCUGGGAACUGCAUUCAAAACUGACAAGCUAGAGUAUGGUAGAGGGUGGUGGAAUUUCCUGUGUAGCGGUGAAAUGCGUAGAUAUAGGAAGGAACACCAGUGGCGAAGGCGACCACCUGGACUGAUACUGACACUGAGGUGCGAAAGCGUGGGGAGCAACAGGAUUAGAUACCCUGGUAGUCCACGUCGUAAACGAUGUCAACUAGUCGUCGGGAGCCCUGAGCUCUAGUUACGCAGCUAACGCAUUAAGGUUGACCCGCCCUGGGGGGAGUUAACGGUCGCC